CCUACCAUGGUGGUAACGGGUAACGGGGUGUUAGGGCACGACACCGGAGAGGGAGCCUGAGAAACGGCUACCACAUCCAAGGAUGGCAGCAGGCGCGCAAAUUACCCAAUCCCGACACGGGGAGGUAGUGACAAUAAAUAACAAUACGGGGUUCUUUCGGAUCUCGUAAUUGGAAUGAGUACAAUUUAAAUCUCUUAACGAGGAACAAUUGGAGGGCAAGUCUGGUGCCAGCAGCCGCGGUAAUUCCAGCUCCAAUAGCGUAUAUUAAAGUUGUUGCAGUUAAAAAGCUCGUAGUUGAAUUUCGGGAUCAAAUUGUCGGUCGUGCCUCGGUACGAACUGGUAUUAUUGGUUCCUACCUUCUGAAGAACCGCGAUGUCAUUAAUUUGGUGUCGUGGGGAAUCAGGACUGUUACUUUGAAAAAAUUAGAGUGUUUAAAGCAGGCUUACGCUUGAAUACAUUAGCAUGGAAUAAUGAAAUAGGACGUUUGAUUCUAUUUUGUUGGUUUCUAGGAUUGACGUAAUGAUUAAUAGGGAUAGUUGGGGGCAUUAGUAUUCAAUUGUCAGAGGUGAAAUUCUUGGAUUUAUUGAAGACUAACUACUGCGAAAGCAUUUGCCAAGGAUGUUUUCAUUAAUCAAGAACGAAAGUUAGGGGAUCGAAGACGAUCAGAUACCGUCGUAGUCUUAACCAUAAACUAUGCCGACUAGGGAUCGGAUGGUGUUAAUUUUUUAAUGACUCAUUCGGCGCCUUACGGGAAACCAAAG
rnacentral:rRNA from 1 species